rnacentral:rRNA from 1 species
UACGUAGGGGGCUAGCGUUGUCCGGAAUCAUUGGGCGUAAAGCGCGUGUAGGCGGCUCGGUAAGUCCGCUGUGAAAGUCGGGGGCUCAACCCUCGGAUGCCGGUGGAUACUGUCGGGCUAGAGUACGGAAGAGGCGAGUGGAAUUCCUGGUGUAGCGGUGAAAUGCGCAGAUAUCAGGAGGAACACCAAUUGCGAAGGCAGCUCGCUGGGACGUUACUGACGCUGAGGUGCGAAAGCUAGGGGAGCGAACGGG